rnacentral:rRNA from 1 species
UACGUAGGGUGCAAGCGUUGUCCGGAAUUAUUGGGCGUAAAGAGCUCGUAGGCGGUCUGUCGCGUCGGCUGUGAAAACCCGGAGCUCAACUCCGGGCCUGCAGUCGAUACGGGCAGACUGGAGUUCGGCAGGGAGACUGGAAUCCUGGUGUAGCGGUGAAUGCGCAGAUAUCAGGAGGAACACCGGUGGCGAAGGCGGCAUCCUGGACCAACACUGACACUGAUGAGCGAAGCCAGGGAGCAACGGG